rnacentral:rRNA from 1 species
GGGUGAGUAACACGUGACCGACCUGUCUUCGGGAGGGGGACAACCUGGGGAAACCCGGGCUAAUACCGCAUGAAGUCUUUGGGCCACCUGGCCUGGGGAUGAAAGGGGGCCUCUGUAGACAAGCUCCUGCCUGGAGAGGGGGUCGCGGCGUAUCAGCUGGUUGGUGGGGUAACGGCCUACCAAGGCGACGACGCGUAGCGGGUCUGAGAGGACGACCCGUCACAUUGGGACUGAGAUACGGCCCAGACUCCUACGGGAGGCAGCAGUGGGGAAUCUUGCGCAAUGGCCGAAAGGCUGACGCAGCGACGCCGCGUGUGGGAGGACGCCCUUCGGGGUGUAAACCACUGUCAGGGGGGACGAAGAGCGGGGAUUCGAAUAGGGUCUUCGAGUGACGGUACCCCCAGAGGAAGCGCCGGCUAACUCCGUGCCAGCAGCCGCGGUAAGACGGAGGGCGCGAGCGUUGUUCGGAAUUACUGGGCGUAAAGCGCGGGCAGGCGGUGGGUUAAGUCGUUUGUGAAACUCCGGGGCUCAACUCCGGACAUGCAGACGAUACUGGCCGA